CUCGCAUGCUUCAUCCACCACGUUUCAAACCUUCCGUGUUCGGUGUGGUGCAGGUGAAUGGAAACACUGGAAGAAGAACAACACUGAAAGAUUGAAUUUAAUACGGAUGAGUUUUGAAACACUGUUAUGCUGGCGUUUUAUGAGCUUGCAAUUAAAUAGGAACGCGGGUCACACCAAGGACUACUCUUUUCCAAGAAAA